CUACACACUGUCACUAUGAUCUGGUCCUCCAUCUUCACUGACAACCGCUUCUUCUCCGCUUUGAUCCUUCACCCUACGUCACAGCCACAUCCAGUCCCUGAUUGGUUGACGCGAUGCAAAUUUAGGAAAAGGUUCAAAUUUUUCAACUCGUCCAUCGCGCCGCUCUCGCUCCCGCUUCGCUUGCCGCGCCUUCCGCGCCGCGCCCUCCGCGUCCUUCGCACCGCGUCGUGCCGCUCCGCUCCUGAACGCGCCUCUACAUAGGGAUAACAUGUAAAUUGGUCGCUCCUUUCGCAGAAAUCGCGUUUGGUGUGAACGCACCUUUAAAAUGUCUCUGGCGGUGGCUUGUCGUUCGCGCCUAUCCUACCCAUAGUUCAAUGUGUCCAUGGUAAGAAGUAGCUCGACCAAUCAGAGACGUUGCUUUUACACUAUAGGAUUCUGUUUUUUUUAAGUUCUGUUAAUUAAUUUAAUAUAACGUUUUAGCUUCUGUGCCACUGCUUUACAACAUGCUCGCUUUACAAAACACAUAAAAAAUGUAAGGCAUAUUUACCUCUGGUAACCGAGUGGGCUGUUACCCGUCGAGACUUAUGUCGUUCCAGAAGAAGAGAGGUAUGGAGGGAAGGAGAAGAAAAUACACUGCUCCCGGUUCACAAUAUGAUAUUCCAACAAGAACAAGGAGAUUCUGGAAAAGGAGGAAACUGACUGAGGCCAUCAACUUGCAUCAGUCAAGCCAGGAAGUGAAUCUGGAUCAGGAUUCCUCUGAGCACAACACUGACAGUGGCUCAGAAGACACACAUGAUGAUGGUGGUGGGAUGACG